CACGUAGGGCGCAAGCGUUGUCCGGAAUUAUUGGGCGUAAAGAGCUCGUAGGCGGUCUGUUGCGUCUGCUGUGAAAACCCGGGGCUUAACCCCUGGCUUGCAGUGGAUACGGACAGACUAGAGGUAGGUAGGGGAGAAUGGAAUUCCCGGUGUAGCGGUGAAAUGCGCAGAUAUCAGGAGGAACGCCGGUGGCGAAGGCGCCACUCUGGGCCGGUACUGACGCUCAUGCACGAAAGCGUGGGGAGCAAACAGG
rnacentral:rRNA from 1 species